rnacentral:rRNA from 1 species
UACCAGCUCUUCGAGUGGUGUGGAUGUUUAUUGGGCCUAAAGCAUCCGUAGCUGGCUGGGCAAGUCCCCUGUUAAAUCCGCCGAUUUAAUCGUUGGAGUGCGGGGGAUACUGUUCGGCUAGGGGACGGGAGAGGCAGACGGUAUUUUCGGGGUAGGGGUGAAAUCCUAUAAUCCCGGGAAGACCACCAGUGGCGAAGGCUGUCUGCUAGAACGCGCCCGACGGUGAGGGAUGAAAGCUGGGGGAGCGAACCGGAUUAGAUACCCGGGUAGUCCCAGCUGUAAACGAUGCAGGCUAGGUGUUUGGGCGGCCACGUGCCGCUCUAGUGCCGCAGGGAAGCCGUUAAGCCUGCCGCCUGGGGAGUACGGCCGCAAGGCUGAAACUUAAAGGAAUUGGCGGGGGAGCACCACAAGGGGUGAAGCUUGCGGUUU